GCAGGUAUAGUUUAGGGGCAAAACAUAUCCUUCCCAAGGAUAAGUCACGGGUUCGAUUCCCGUUACCUGCU
rnacentral:tRNA from 1 species